rnacentral:rRNA from 1 species
AGCAGCCGCGGUAAUUCCAGCUCCAAUAGCGUAUAUUAAAGUUGUUGCAGUUAAAAAGCUCGUAGUUGAAUUUUGGAUUCUUCCAAUUGGUCCAUCUUUUAGAUGAGUACUGGUUGUGUGGGGUCUAUCCGCCUGGUGAUACGUAAUGUCCUUUAUUGGAUGUUUCCGGGGUAGUCAGGACCUUUACCUUGAAAAAAUUAGAGUGUUUAAAGCAGGCUUAUGCCGGAAUACAUUAGCAUGGAAUAAUAGAAUAGGACGAAGUGUUUUAUUUUGUUGGUUUCUAGGACAACCGUAAUGAUUAAUAGGGAUAGUUGGGGGCAUUAGUAUUCAAUUGUCAGAGGUGAAAUUCUUGGAUUUAUUGAAGACUAACUACUGCGAAAGCAUUUGCCAAGGAUGUUUUCAUUAAUCAAGAACGAAAGUUAGGGGAUCGAAGACGAUCAGAUACCGUCGUAGUCUUAACCAUAAACUAUGCCGACUAGGGAUCGGGCGAUGUUGUUUCCAUGACUCGCUCGGCACCUUA